GAUUAUUGUCCUACAUUUUGCCUUAAUUUCCUUCUCUCAUAUGGAUAAUUAUUUUUAUUUAGCUUUCUAUAUGUGUCAAACAAGAAAUCUACAGUAUGUAUAUUACAAAGAAAAACUACGUAGAUUUGUGAUUCAAAGGGACUUCUUCCAUGAUGACAAAGCAGAAUUGCAGCUCUUUAGGUAGGACCUAAAGAGGCAGGACUUUCAAUUCACAGCAUUAUAAGCAAUCAAUUGAAAAAGCUGAAGAUGUGCUGAACAAAAAAUAGCUGGCAGCAGUUUGAUUUGAUUUCAUAAUAAGACUUCCUGUAAAAGAACCUGUGAAAACAUCAUUUGCAUGAUUGCAUCCUUGUGUGAUACAAUGGAAAGUUAUCUUUUCAGGACUGCCGAUGGAAGCGCAUGGCACCGUGCGAGUGAAAACGCUUUCCGAUGGUUUGCUGAUUCACACUGACUAAGAUAGCUGGCAGGAGCAACAACACAUCUAAUGGCAUCUGGAGCCAGAAACAGUGGAGCUUUCCCUAAGUCCACCUGCCUCUCGAUGUCCUCCACUCUUUAUCUUGCUAAAUCAUAGUCCAUCUUGCUAAAGAUAAUAAUAUCCCAAAGGAUCCCAGAUAUUUCUAAGUUCGUGAAAACCAAACUACCAUAUUUUAGAAGACUGAUCGAUUUCAAGAGAUUUGUGAAUGCUACCCAAAUUACUCUUUGAAUGUAGAAAAAUGGCAUCAAUUGGAGUUUCUGUUCUCAUGUCUGAUGAAUUCGUUUUAUUCCUGGAAUGCAGCUGAGGAGGACAAGGUUGGUUGGAAUGUUCCUUGAAUUAAAAUCAGAAUGAAUCCAAUUGAA